GCAUCUUUGACUGCAUGGUAGAUGACAUUCUUCACCUAAAGGAACGAGAGGAGUGUCAUCUAUUCACCUUUACUAGGCGGAGUACAAAAGCAAAACAAAUGCAUACCUUUCCUGUAGAGGAAUUCAAGAGAUUUCGGAGGAAACCAGAACUGUUGUUGCUUACAGGUGUCAAAAUCGUGCUGUUAAAGCUCACCAGUAAGAGAGACAAAUACCCAAAACAAAGCCCAGCAACAGCCCUAGAUAUCACCAUGGCUGCAGUAAUCUUACAAUAACAGAACAGGACUAUAAGAAUGAACAAUGUCUCCAA